rnacentral:ncRNA from 2 species
ACUGUCACAAAGGGGAGCCUUCGGGCUGAGAAUGAGGACACUCUAAACCCUAGUACCUGUUUCGGUCAUGCGAGCGUAGGAAUUGUGAUGAAGUAAUAU